rnacentral:rRNA from 1 species
UACGUAGGGGGCAAGCGUUGUCCGGAUUUAUUGGGCGUAAAGAGCGUGUAGGCGGUUUGGUAGGUCCGCUGUGAAAACUCGAGGCUCAACCUCGAGACGCCGGUGGAAACCAUCAGGCUAGAGUCCGGAAGAGGAGAGUGGAAUUCCUGGUGUAGCGGUGAAAUGCGCAGAUAUCAGGAAGAACACCCGUGGCUAAGGCGACUCCCUAGUACGGUACUGACGCUGAGACGCGAAAGCGUGGGGAGCGAACAGG